rnacentral:rRNA from 1 species
AGUGAACGCUGGCGGUAGGCCUAACACAUGCAAGUCGAACGGCAGCACAGUAAGAGCUUGCUCUUACGGGUGGCGAGUGGCGGACGGGUGAGGAAUACAUCGGAAUCUACUUUUUCGUGGGGGAUAACGUAGGGAAACUUACGCUAAUACCGCAUACGACCUACGGGUGAAAGCAGGGGAUCUUCGGACCUUGCGCGAUUGAAUGAGCCGAUGUCGGAUUAGCUAGUUGGCGGGGUAAAGGCCCACCAAGGCGACGAUCCGUAGCUGGUCUGAGAGGAUGAUAAGCCACACUGAAACUGAGACACGGUCCAAGCUCCUACGGGAGGCAGAAGUGGGAAAUAUUGGACAAUGGGCGCAAGCCUGAUCCAGCCAUACCGCGUGGGUGAAGAAGGCCUUCGGGUUGUAAAGCCCUUUUGUUGGGAAAGAAAAGCAGCAGGUUAAUACCCCGCUGUUCUGACGGUACCAAAAGAAUAAGCACCGGCUAACUUCGU